CAGUCGCCGCGGGAAUACGAAGGGGGCUAGCGUUGCUCGGAAUCACUGGGCGUAAAGGGUGCGUAGGCGGGUUUUUAAGUCAGAGGUGAAAUCCUGGAGCUCAACUCCAGAACUGCCUUUAAUACUGAGAGUCUUGAGUAUGGGAGAGGUGAGUGGAACUGCGAGUGUAGAGGUGAAAUUCGUAGAUAUUCGCAAGAACACCAGUGGCGAAGGCGGCUCACUGGCCCAUAACUGACGCUGAGGCACGAAAGCGUGGGGAGCAAACAGGAUUAGAUACCCGCGUAGUCCCUGUCUCUUAUAC
rnacentral:rRNA from 1 species